GACGAACGCUGGCGGCGUGCCUAAUACAUGCAAGUCGAGCGGACUGAUUAAGAGCUUGCUCCUAUGACGUUAGCGGCGGACGGGUGAGUAACACGUGGGCAACCUGCCCUGUAGAUCGGGAUAACACCGAGAAAUCGGUGCUAAUACCGGGUAAUAUCUGAGAUCACAUGAUCUUAGGUUAAAAGAUGGCUCCGGCUAUCACUACAGGAUGGGCCCGCGGCGCAUUAGCUAGUUGGUAAGGUAAUGGCUUACCGAGGCGACGAUGCGUAGCCGACCUGAGAGGGUGAUCGGCCACACUGGGACUGAGACACGGCCCAGACUCCUACGGGAGGCAGCAGUAGGGAAUCUUCCGCAAUGGACGAAAGUCUGACGGAGCAACGCCGCGUGAGUGAUGAAGGGUUUCGGCUCGUAAAGCUCUGUUGUUAGGGAAGAAACAGUACCGAACGAACUAGGUCGGUACCUUGACGGUACCUAACCAGAAAGCCACGGCUAACUACGUG
rnacentral:rRNA from 1 species